AUUGAACGCUGGCGGCAGGCCUAACACAUGCAAGUCGAGCGAGCGGCGGACGGGUGAGUAAUGUCUGGGAAACUGCCUGAUGGAGGGGGAUAACUACUGGAAACGGUAGCUAAUACCGCAUACCAUCAGAUGUGCCCAGAUGGGAUUAGCUCGUAGGUGGGGUAACGGCUCACCUAGGCGACGAUCCCUAGCUGGUCUGUGAGGAUGACCAGGCACACUGGAACUGAAAAACGGUCCCGACUCCUAGGGGAGGAAGCAGUGGGGAAUAUUGCACAAUGGGCGCAAGCCUGAUGCGGCCAUGCCGCGUGUGUGAAGAGGGCCUUCGGGUUGUAAAGCACUUUCAGCGGGGAGGCGUUACCCGCAGAAGAAGCACCGGCUAACUCCGUGCCAGCAGCCGCGGUAUAC
rnacentral:rRNA from 1 species